rnacentral:rRNA from 1 species
AUUGAACGCUGGCGGCAUGCCUUACACAUGCAAGUCGAACGGCAGCGCGGGUGCUUGCACCUGGCGGCGAGUGGCGAACGGGUGAGUAAUAUAUCGGAACGUGCCCUAGAGUGGGGGAUAACGCAGCGAAAGUUACGCUAAUACCGCAUACGAUCUACGGAUGAAAGUGGGGAAUCGCAAGACCUCAUCAUACUGGAGCGGCCGAUAACUGAUUAGCUAGUUGGUGGGGUAAAGGCCCACCAAGGCGACGAUCAGUAGCUGGUCUGAGAGGACGACCAGCCACACUGGGACUGAGACACGGCCCAGACUCCUACGGGAGGCAGCAGUGGGGAAUUUUGGACAAUGGGGGCAACCCUGAUCCAGCAAUGCCGCGUGAGUGAAGAAGGCCUUCGGGUUGUAAAGCUCUUUUGUCAGGGAAGAAACGGUCUGGGUUAAUACCCUGGGCUAAUGACGGUACCUGAAGAAUAAGCACCGGCUAACUACGUGCCAGCCGCCGCGGUAAAAC